GAAAGACGACCAGGUUGAUAGGUUCGAGGUGGAAGUGCAGCAAUGCAUGCAGCUGACGAAUACUAAUCGGUCGAGGGCUUAUCCU
rnacentral:rRNA from 1 species